rnacentral:misc_RNA from 1 species
AACGCACCUUGCACUUUUUGGUAUUCCAAAGAGUAUAUCUGUUUGAGUGUCGCUAAUAACUUCAAAGCCCCCCUUUUAGCCCACAAAUUCAUUUGUGGUUCGAAAGGAGUUUCACUGUUUUUAAAAACAUGAAUUUGGGAUUUGGAUUGUUGACCCGUCCCACCCGAAUUUUAUAUUUGGGUUAGGAUGAACAAAUUCUUGUACGCAUGAAUUGUCGUCCGGGUUGAAAUGAAUCGAGUAAUUUCGUAACAAAAUCAGAUUGAGAUAACAAAGCUUUAUUCAACAUGAUUGUGUUUUGGCGUGAUAGAUAUUCUUAUUUCGUCAGAAGCAAUUGGAGAGAAUAAAGUUUCUCAAACGAUGGUUUCAAUUCGAGUAUUGCUUCGAACCGGUACUUGCAUGUACAUUUAUAAUAUAACAGACCUCAAAUCAGAUAGGACUACCCGCUGAACUUAA